rnacentral:rRNA from 1 species
CUGACGCUCAUGCACGAAAGCGUGGGUAUCGAACAGGAUUAGAUACCCUGGUAGUCCACGCGGUAAACGAUGAUAACUGGCUGUCCGUGGCGAUUGGGCCGUGGGCGGCUGAGCGAAAGCGUUAAGUUAUCCACCUGGGGAGUACGCCGGCAACGGUGAAACUCAAAGGAAUUGACGGGGGCCCGCACAAGCGGAGGAACAUGUGGUUUAAUUCGAUGAUACGCGAGGAACCUUACCCGGGCUCAAACGCAUGGCGCAAUGUCCUGAAAGGGACAGUUCUUCGGACGUCAUGCGAGGUGCUGCAUGGUUGUCGUCAGCUCGUGCCGUGAGGUGUCGGCUUAAGUGCCAUAACGAGCGCAACCCCCAUCUUCAGUUGCCCCCGGGUGAAGCCGGGCACUCUGGAGAGACUGCCGGCGCAAGCUGUGAGGAAGGCGGGGAUGACGUCAAAUCAGCACGGCCCUUACGUCCGGGGCGACACACGUGUUACAAUGGCGGGGUUACAGCGGGAAGCCAGGCGGCGACGCCGAGCUGAUCCCGAAAACCCGUCUCAGUUCGGAUCGGAGUCUGCAACCCGACUCCGUGAAGCUGGAUUCGCUAGUA